UUUUGACACCUCGUUGCCAGUCACAUUCUUUAAAAUCUCAUGGAAAAUCAACUAAAAAGUAAAUAAAGACUAAAUUAAAGUUAAAAUACACUGAUCUAAAAAAAUGUACCGCAAAAAAGGGUGGAAUAUUUGAUGGACUUCAAAUGAGAAAAGUAAUGAGAUAUUCAAAUUUUAUUGCAUCAAUUAAUCAGGCUGAAAAAAGGGUUUGGAAUGUAUUUUGUAAUGUGAUGAAGAAUUUAUUGAGGAA
rnacentral:lncRNA from 1 species